AGUAACACGUAUCCAACCUGCCGUCUACUCUUGGACAGCCUUCUGAAAGGAAGAUUAAUACAAGAUGGCAUCAUGAGUCCGCAUGUUCACAUGAUUAAAGGUAUUCCGGUAGACGAUGGGGAUGCGUUCCAUUAGAUAGUAGGCGGGGUAGCGGCCCACCUAGUCUUCGAUGGAUAGGGGUUCUGAGAGGAAGGUCCCCCACAUUGGAACUGAGACAUGGUCCAA
rnacentral:rRNA from 1 species